GAAAGGUGCCUAUUGUUGUACGCGCACCGAUUAAGUUGCGAGUACGAUCUUGAUAUGCUCUGCGUUUGACUAUUUCUUUUUGUUAAGAUUAAGGUAUGAAGUCGGUGCUAUAGUCAUAUUAGUUAAAUUGCUAUUUCAUAUAAACCAAAUAGUGAUAUGCAUUUUUUACUCUGUCUAGCGUAUUUACAUAUUUAGCUUUUAUAUCUGAAGGGGACUCUAAAAGUUGUAAUGCUUAAUUCUCAAAUCAUAUACGAGCCAUAUGGUCCCAGUGAGCCCAUCUCCUUUUUAUGAAGGUGGUUUACAAAUAGUGGACGGAGAAGAACAAAAGAUGAUAUCUUUCUAGAGGUUGCACCUUGCUCCUUAUUACCAAAUUCAUGGAAGCUUACAUGCUGCAUUUUCUACACAUGAGUAGUACUCAUAGUUAUUUUGAUCUGUUCGAUGAUCCCUACUUCCUUGCAGCUAAGUUUAUCAUUAUGUUUGUAGAAAGUAUAAUACAAUGAUAUUUUGACUUGACGCUUCUCUUUGGAUUUACAUGCAGCUAAAGAAUCCUAUGCUAUUGCCCAAUUACGAAAAUCUGGU
rnacentral:lncRNA from 1 species